GGGGGUAACAUAGAAACUGAUCGAUGC
rnacentral:piRNA from 1 species